rnacentral:rRNA from 1 species
UACGUAGGGGGCUAGCGUUGUCCGGAAUCAUUGGGCGUAAAGAGCGUGUAGGCGGUUCGGUAAGUCCGCUGUGAAAGUCCAGGGCUCAACCCUGGAAUGCCGGUGGAUACUGUCGGGCUAGAGUCCGGAAGAGGAGAGUGGAAUUCCUGGUGUAGCGGUGAAAUGCGCAGAUAUCAGGAAGAACACCCGUGGCUAAGGCGGCUCUCUAGUACGGUACUGACGCUGAGACGCGAAAGCGUGGGGAGCGAACAGG